rnacentral:rRNA from 1 species
CGCCUCUUGACUUAUAAUAAGAGGUCCAGCCUGCCCAGUGAAUUUUAAACGGCCGCGGUAUCCUAACCGCGCGAAGGUAGCAUAAUCACUUGUUCUUUAAAUGGGGACUCGUAUCAACGGCAUCACGAGGGCUUUACUGUCUCCUCUUUUUGAUCAGUGAAAUUGAUCUUCCCGUGAAGAAGCGGGAAUAUUUUUAUAAGACGAGAAGACCCCAUGGAGCUUUAAACCAAAUAACAACUUAACCACUUAUCCCACAAUAAAUUUAAGCCCUGUUAUACGGUUUUUGGUUGGGGUGACCGCGGAGUAAAGCAUAUCCUCCACGACGGAAAGAACACAAUCUUUAUUUAAGAACCACAUUUCUAAAAAUUAGUAUACUAACGUUUACUGACCCGACAAUCGAUCAACGAACCAAGUUACCCUGGGGAUAACAGCGCAAUCUACUUCAAGAGCUCAUAUCGACAAGUAGGCUUACGACCUCGAUGUUGGAUCAGGGUAUCCCGGUGGUGCAGCCGCUACCGAAGGUUCGUUUGUUCAACGAUUAAAACCCU